AUAACCGGCGAUUUCCGAAUGGGGAAACCCAGUGUGUUUCGACACACUAUCAUUAACUGAAUCCAUAGGUUAAUGAGGCGAACCGGGGGAACUGAAACAUCUAAGUACCCCGAGGAAAAGAAAUCAACCGAGAUUCCCCCAGUAGCGGCGAGCGAACGGGGAGCAGCCCAGAGCCUGAAUCAGUGUGUGUGUUAGUGGAAGCGUCUGGAAAGGCGCGCGAUACAGGGUGACAGCCCCGUACACAAAAAUGCACAUACUGUGAGCUCGAUGAGUAGGGCGGGACACGUGGUAUCCUGUCUGAAUAUGGGGGGACCAUCCUCCAAGGCUAAAUACUCCUGACUGACCGAUAGUGAACCAGUACCGUGAGGGAAAGGCGAAAAGAACCCCGGCGAGGGGAGUGAAAAAGAACCUGAAACCGUGUACGUACAAGCAGUGGGAGCCUCUUAAUGGGGUGACUGCGUACCUUUUGUAUAAUGGGUCAGCGACUUAUAUUCUGUAGCAAGGUUAACCGAAUAGGGGAGCCGAAGGGAAACCGAGUCUUAACUGGGCGUUAAGUUGCAGGGUAUAGACCCGAAACCCGGUGAUCUAGCCAUGGGCAGGUUGAAGGUUGGGUAACACUAACUGGAGGACCGAACCGACUAAUGUUGAAAAAUUAGCGGAUGACUUGUGGCUGGGGGUGAAAGGCCAAUCAAACCGGGAGAUAGCUGGUUCUCCCCGAAAGCUAUUUAGGUAGCGCCUCGUGAAUUCAUCUCCGGGGGUAGAGCACUGUUUCGGCAAGGGGGUCAUCCCGACUUACCAACCCGAUGCAAACUGCGAAUACCGGAGAAUGUUAUCACGGGAGACACACGGCGGGUGCUAACGUCCGUCGUGAAGAGGGAAACAACCCAGACCGCCAGCUAAGGUCCCAAAGUCAUGGUUAAGUGGGAAACGAUGUGGGAAGGCCCAGACAGCCAGGAUGUUGGCUUAGAAGCAGCCAUCAUUUAAAGAAAGCGUAAUAGCUCACUGGUCGAGUCGGCCUGCGCGGAAGAUGUAACGGGGCUAAACCAUGCACCGAAGCUGCGGCAGCGACACUAUGUGUUGUUGGGUAGGGGAGCGUUCUGUAAGCCUGUGAAGGUGUACUGUGAGGUAUGCUGGAGGUAUCAGAAGUGCGAAUGCUGACAUAAGUAACGAUAAAGCGGGUGAAAAGCCCGCUCGCCGGAAGACCAAGGGUUCCUGUCCAACGUUAAUCGGGGCAGGGUGAGUCGACCCCUAAGGCGAGGCCGAAAGGCGUAGUCGAUGGGAAACAGGUUAAUAUUCCUGUACUUGGUGUUACUGCGAAGGGGGGACGGAGAAGGCUAUGUUGGCCGGGCGACGGUUGUCCCGGUUUAAGCGUGUAGGCUGGUUUUCCAGGCAAAUCCGGAAAAUCAAGGCUGAGGCGUGAUGACGAGGCACUACGGUGCUGAAGCAACAAAUGCCCUGCUUCCAGGAAAAGCCUCUAAGCAUCAGGUAACAUCAAAUCGUACCCCAAACCGACACAGGUGGUCAGGUAGAGAAUACCAAGGCGCUUGAGAGAACUCGGGUGAAGGAACUAGGCAAAAUGGUGCCGUAACUUCGGGAGAAGGCACGCUGAUAUGUAGGUGAAGUCCCUUGCGGAUGGAGCUGAAAUCAGUCGAAGAUACCAGCUGGCUGCAACUGUUUAUUAAAAACACAGCACUGUGCAAACACGAAAGUGGACGUAUACGGUGUGACGCCUGCCCGGUGCCGGAAGGUUAAUUGAUGGGGUUAGCGGUAACGCGAAGCUCUUGAUCGAAGCCCCGGUAAACGGCGGCCGUAACUAUAACGGUCCUAAGGUAGCGAAAUUCCUUGUCGGGUAAGUUCCGACCUGCACGAAUGGCGUAAUGAUGGCCAGGCUGUCUCCACCCGAGACUCAGUGAAAUUGAACUCGCUGUGAAGAUGCAGUGUACCCGCGGCAAGACGGAAAGACCCCGUGAACCUUUACUAUAGCUUGACACUGAACAUUGAGCCUUGAUGUGUAGGAUAGGUGGGAGGCUUUGAAGUGUGGACGCCAGUCUGCAUGGAGCCGGCCUUGAAAUACCACCCUUUAAUGUUUGAUGUUCUAACGUUGGCCCCUGAUCGGGGUUGCGGACAGUGUCUGGUGGGUAGUUUGACUGGGGCGGUCUCCUCCUAAAGAGUAACGGAGGAGCACGAAGGUUGGCUAAUCCUGGUCGGACAUCAGGAGGUUAGUGCAAUGGCAUAAGCCAGCUUGACUGCGAGCGUGACGGCGCGAGCAGGUGCGAAAGCAGGUCAUAGUGAUCCGGUGGUUCUGAAUGGAAGGGCCAUCGCUCAACGGAUAAAAGGUACUCCGGGGAUAACAGGCUGAUACCGCCCAAGAGUUCAUAUCGACGGCGGUGUUUGGCACCUCGAUGUCGGCUCAUCACAUCCUGGGGCUGAAGUAGGUCCCAAGGGUAUGGCUGUUCGCCAUUUAAAGUGGUACGCGAGCUGGGUUUAGAACGUCGUGAGACAGUUCGGUCCCUAUCUGCCGUGGGCGCUGGAGAACUGAGGGGGGCUGCUCCUAGUACGAGAGGACCGGAGUGGACGCAUCACUGGUGUUCGGGUUGUCAUGCCAAUGGCACUGCCCGGUAGCUAAAUGCGGAAGAGAUAAGUGCUGAAAGCAUCUAAGCACGAAACUUGCCCCGAGAUGAGUUCUCCCUGACUCCUUGA
rnacentral:rRNA from 1 species